rnacentral:rRNA from 1 species
AGAACUUAGCAGAGAUUGCUUUGGUGCCUUCGGGAACUCUGAGACAGGUGCUGCAUGGCUGUCGUCAGCUCGUGUUGUGAAAUGUUCGGGUUAAGUCCCGCAACGAGCGCAACCCUUAUCCUUUGUUGCCAGCGGUUAGCCGGGAACUCAAAGGAGACUGCCAGUGAUAAACUGGAGGAAGGUGGGGAUGACGUCAAGUCAUCAUGGCCCUUACGAGUAGGGCUACACACGUGCUACAAUGGCGCAUACAAAGAGAAGCGACCUCGCGAGAGCAAGCGGACCUCAUAAAGUGCGUCGUAGUCCGGAUUGGAGUCUGCAACUCGACUCCAUGAAGUCGGAAUCGCUAGUAAUCGUGGAUCAGAAUGCCACGGUGAAUACGUUCCCGGGCCUUGUACACACCGCCCGUCACACCAUGGGAGUGGGUUGCAAAAGAAGUAGGUAGCUUAACCUUCGGGAGGGCGCUUACCACUUUGUGAUUCAUGACUGGGGUGAAGUCGUAACAAGGUAGGCGUAGUGCU